AACGAACGCUGGCGGCAUGCCUAACACAUGCAAGUCGAACGAGACCUGCGGGUUUAGUGGCGCACGGAUGCGUAACGGGUGGGGACCUGCCCUUGGGUUCGCAAUGACUCCCCGGAUGGGGUGCGAAUACCGGAGCUAAUCUUCGGUCCAAAGAGUUAUCGCCUUUGGGUGGGCCUGCGGUGGAUUGCCUAGGUGGUAGGGUAAAAGGCUACAAAGGCGGGGAUCCAUAGCUGGUAUUGGAGGAUGGUCAGCCACACUGGGACUGGGACAAGGCCCAGACUCCUGCGAGAGGCAGCAGUGGGGAAUAAUGGACGAUGGGCGAAAGACGGAGCCAUCAAGGCCGCGAGAGUGAUGAAGGCGUUAGGGUUGUAAAGCACUUUUACCCGGGAUGAUAAUGAGAGAACCGGAAGAAUAAGCUCGGGCAAAUUCCGG
rnacentral:rRNA from 1 species